GCCCGUGAUAACUUGGGUAAACCCCCGCAAAUAGCCCCGCUUCCCUAUCGGGGAAAGCCGGGAACCUUUUGGCCUUGCGAAGAUCCAUCAGCCCACCUCCUAGUUGCUGAUUGGAUGGGUCAACGCCUACACAAGCGACAAUCCGUCAGUGAUGUGAAAGGAUCACCCUUCAACUCAGAACUGACACACAGUCCUAACUCCUGCAGCAGGGAGCAAUGUGGAAUCUUGGACAAUGGGGGCAACCCUGAUCCACCCAUGCCGCAUGAGUGACUAAGGCCUUAGGGUUUCUUUCCACUUUCAAUAAGGAGGAAGGCUUCUACCUUCAUACCCUGGAGUACUUGACGUUACCUCCAGAAGAAGCACCGGUCUAAUUUCGUGCCAGCAUCCUCCGUAAUACAAGGGUGCGAGCGUUAAUCGGAAUUUUGGGCGUAAAUCGCGCAUACGCGGUUUUUUAAUCGGAUGUGAAAGCCCACGGCUCAACCUUGGAACUGCAUCCGAUACUGGCUUUCUUGAGUGCAGUAGAGGGAGGUGGAAUUUCCGGUGUAACACUGAAAUGCGUAGAGAUUCUAAGGAACCCACUGGCGAUGAGGACUCCUGCACUGACACUGACCUUGACGUGCGAAAGCAUCGGGAGCAAACAGGAUUAGAGACCAUGCUAGUACACGGCGGUAAACGAUGUCUAGUGACAGUCGACGAUGUCGUAUCGUCAGUUGAGCAGCUAACGCGAUAAGCAGANCGACUAGGGGAGUACGGCCGCAAGGCUAAAAAUCAAAUGAAUUGACCGGGGGACCGCACAAAGCGGUGGAGCAAGUGGUUUAAUAACGAUGCAAAACCGAAGAACCUUACGACUACNUGACAUCCUGCGUAACUUGGCAGAGACGCCUUGGUGCCUUGUGGACCCGAGUGACAGGUGCUGCAUGGCUGUGGUCAGUGAGAUGUCGUGAGAAGUUGGGUUAAGUCCCGCAACCCUGCUCAACCCUUGUCCGUAGUCGCCAUGCGGGUUAGGCCGGGAACUGGAGGGAGACGGCCGGAGACAAACCGAAGGAAGGGGGGGAGGAAGGCAAGUCAUCACGGCCCUUACGGGUAGGCACACACACUUGAAACAAUGGCCCAUACAGAGGGCAGAGAAGUAGGGGGGGGGAGUAACUCCAAUUAAAACCGCUGGUAGUCCGGAGGGCAGUAAUGCAACUCGCAUGAAGUA
rnacentral:rRNA from 1 species